UGAGGAAUAUUGGUCAAUGGGCGCGAGCCUGAACCAGCCAAGUAGCGUGAAGGAUGACUGCCCUAUGGGUUGUAAACUUCUUUUAUAGGGAAUGAAAGAUUGGCCACGUGUGGCCUUUUGUAUGUACCUUAUGAAUAAGGAUCGGCUAACUCCGUGCCAGCAGCCGCGGUAAUACGGAGGAUCCGAGCGUUAUCCGGAUUUAUUGGGUUUAAAGGGAGCGUAGGCGGACGCUUAAGUCAGUUGUGAAAGUUUGCGGCUCAACCGUAAAAUUGCAGUUGAUACUGGGUGUCUUGAGUACAGUAGAGGCAGGCGGAAUUCGUGGUGUAGCGGUGAAAUGCUUAGAUAUCACGAAGAACUCCGAUUGCGAAGGCAGCUUACUGGACUGUAACUGACGCUGAUGCUCGAAAGUGUGGGUAUCAAACAGGAUUAGAUACC
rnacentral:rRNA from 1 species